UACGGGGGGGGGCAAGCGUUGUUCGGAAUUACUGGGCGUAAAGGGCUCGUAGGCGGCCAACUAAGUCAUACGUGAAAUCCCUCGGCUUAACCGGGGAACUGCGUCUGAUACUGGAUGGCUUGAGUUCGGGAGAGGGAUGCGGAAUUCCAGGUGUAGCGGUGAAAUGCGUAGAUAUCAGGAGGAACACCGGCGGUGUAGACGGCUUUCUGGACCGUAGCUGACGCUGAGACACGAAAGCGUGGGUAGCAAACAGG
rnacentral:rRNA from 1 species